AGAGUUUGAUCCUGGCUCAGAACGAACGCUGGCGGCAGGCUUAACACAUGCAAGUCGAGCGCGUACAAUACGAGCGGCAGGCGGGUGAGUAACGCGUGGGAAUCUACCCAUCACUAGGGAAUAACUCAGGGAAACUUGUGCUAAUACCCUAUACGACCGAGAGGUGAAAGAUUUAUCGGUGAUGGAUGAGCCCGCGUUGGAUUAGCUAGUUGGUGGGGUAAAGGCCUACCAAGGCGACGAUCCAUAGCUGGUCUGAGAGGAUGAUCAGCCACACUGGGACUGAGACACGGCCCAGACUCCUACGGGAGGCAGCAGUGGGGAAUAUUGGACAAUGGGCGCAAGCCUGAUCCAGCCAUGCCGCGUGAGUGAUGAAGGCCCUAGGGUUGUAAAGCUCUUUCACCGGUGAAGAUAAUGACGGUAACCGGAGAAGAAGCCCCGGCUAACUUCGUGCCAGCAGCCGCGGUAAUACGAAGGGGGCUAGCGUUGUUCGGAUUUACUGGGCGUAAAGCGCACGUAGGCGGGCUAAUAAGUCAGGGGUGAAAUCCCGGGGCUCAACCCCGGAACUGCCUUUGAUACUGUUAGUCUUGAGUAUGGAAGAGGUGAGUGGAAUUCCGAGUGUAGAGGUGAAAUUCGUAGAUAUUC
rnacentral:rRNA from 1 species